GUGCUCACUUCAGCAGCACAUAUAUACUAAAAUUGGAGUCAUACAGAGAAGAUUAGCCGGCCCCUGUGCAAGGAUGACACGCAAAUUCAUGAGCGUUCCAUAUUUUU
ensembl:snRNA U6 U6 spliceosomal RNA